AACGAACGCUGGCGGCGUGGAUGAGGCAUGCAAGUCGAGCGGUAGCAGAAAAGAAGCUUGCUUCUUUUGCUGACGAGCGGCGAACGGGUGAGGAAUGCUUGAGCAACCUGCCCUGAAGUUCGGAAUAGCUGUGGGAAACUGCAGGUAAUGCCGGAUGUGAUAAUCCUGGGCAUCCAGGUGAAUUUAAAGGCGGGGAUCCUUCGGGACCUGUCGCUUCAGGAUGGGCUCAAGCCCUAUCAGCUUGUUGGUGAGGUAAUGGCUCACCAAGGCUAAGACGGGUAGCUGGUCUGAGAGGAUGGUCAGCCACACUGGGACUGAGACACUGCCCAGACUCCUACGGGAGCUGCAGUCGAGAAUCAUUGUCAAUGCGCGAAAGCGUGAACAUGCGACGCCGCGUGGAGGAUGAAGGCUUUCGGGUCGUAAACUCCUGUCAGAAGGGAACAAGUGUUGUCAGGUUAAUAACCUGGUAG
rnacentral:rRNA from 1 species